UGCAUUCAUCCCGUGGGGCCCUGGCCAGCCAGGCAGGUGUGUGUCGUCAGAGGGGAGGGUAUACUGACGGCAGCUGGGGGUUUCGUCCCCAGCCCAUGGGCUCUGCUGGUAGAAACAACACAGAAGCUAUUGAGAAACCCAAGGAGAGCGCAGCCCUGCAGUCAGCCUGGCAAAGCCAUGUGCCUUUCUCAGUGCUAAGGGGGAGGGGGCUCGGGCUAUUUAUUACACACCAGAGACCAGUAAACCACAUACUGAUGAAAAGGCGACAUUUUCUAGCUAACAAAACAGUUCGCGGUACCAAGGGACAGGGAAGUCUUUUUUUUCAGCAAGGUUGACACAGUCAAAGCAGUCGGGGGAAGGACUGUAAUUCCAGGAAACUCAGCUACAAGAAUUUGACAUUUUAACAGGAACCAGCUAGCACUGCAACCUUGAGAGGCGACAGCCUGCUACAGAGAAGAGGAAGAAGCACCAAGACAAAUCCAAAGAAAUGACACUGCCACCACGCUGACUCUUGGUUAGUUGCUAAGUGUUCCCAGAAGCCCGAGUGACCCUAGGAGAUGGUGUAUGUAAUCGUAACGCGAGACCAGCACACAGGGCUGGGAAGAGCAUCAUUUUUCUUCCAUGCCAUCACCUCCAUUUCCCUGCGACAAAGACCAAUGGUGUCCUUGGAUAGAGGAGAAUGGAGGCAGGAUAUAGAAUAAAAAGCCAAGGAACGGUCAAGAAGUUACGUGGGAAAAGCAAUAUGAAAGCCAAAGUUGGAGAAAUUUUACCCUGGACAAAGUCGAGAAGAUUCUUGGAGGGAACAAUGUGACGACCAUUGUGUAUUGUGGCUUUAUGAUUUUAUGUCUUAACCGCGGGGCACUCAGCGUGACAAGACGAAGGCUCCCUCCAAGAGCUAUUGUAGAGCGUUCACCAAGACGUGAGGAGACGCCGCUUGCCCAGGCUGCAAACGCGAGGGCUCUCACCGCCGCGGAAGUCCCCCAGGAUCUCCGAGCUCCACCCACCAUUUCGGUGCAAGGGCACUCGCGACCGCAGGGCUUGGCCGGAGGAGUUUCCGGGCACAUCCCUCCAGUGGCUCUUCUACACCAGCUCGGGUCCCGCCGUCGGGGAGAGGACCCAGCGGGCAAGACCCCUGCCGGUCCCGCGCGCGCUCAAACUCUUGACUUCCUCUCUGCACCCCUGGUCCCUGCCCUGUCCCUCGCCCUUGGGAGCAUCCACUUAUCCUUCGGGGACCCUACGUGCCUGAGCACAGGGGUCCUCGAGAUUAGCCGGGGUGACCGGGCGUGGGAGGGCGGGCGGAGCUGGGAACGCGUGGCAGUGUCCAGGGUGAGAGAGCCUCCCGACCCCUGGGCCAGGGGAGGGACUCGGAGAGAAGCUCCGUAGGAAGGAGAUGGACACAGAAUUGGAAGACUCGGGGGGGGGGGGCGGGGAGAUUUACCCCCUGUGGUAAGAGAGCAAAAACCCUGCCCAAAGUGCUGGUUCUCCAUUUCCCGUGGAAAUAAAUUCUAGCCUCCAGCAAGAUCUCCUCGCUCCUCAGUACAGCAAAGCCC
ensembl:lincRNA